GGUCAUCUCACUCGGCGCAUGGACAUCCUGUCGGUUUGUCUUCUGUCGCAGGGCAACCUCGCUUCGGUCGACGAUCGGCAAGUUUACUUUGAACAAACCAAAGUGCUCAACACAAGCGCAUCGCUUGAAUGUUCUUGCAUGGAAUAAUAGAAGAGGAUUUCGGUUCUGUUUUGUUGGUUUUGUAACCGAGAUAAUGGUUAAUAGAGACGGGCGGGGGCAUCGGUAUUUCCGCGUGAGAGGUGAAAUUCUUGGACCGCGGGAGGACCAACAACAGCGAAGGCAGUUGCCAAGUACGUCUUCAUUAACCAAGAACGAAAGUCAAGGGAUCAAAGACGAUUAGAUACCGUCGUAGUCUUGACCGUAAACGAUGCUAACUAGCGAUCUGUCGGCUUACCACCACGGUACCGAUAGGGAGCUUACGGGAAACCAAAGUGUUUCAGCUCCGGGGGUAGUAUGGUCGCAAGGCUGAAACUUAAAGGAAUUGACGGAAGGGCACCACCAGGGGUGGAGCUUGCGGCUUAAUUUGACUCAACACGGGAAACCUCACCCGGGCCGGACACCGUCGGGAUUGACAGGUUGACAGAUCUUUCAUGAUUCGGUGGUUGGUGGUGCAUGGCCGUUCUUAGUUCGUGGAGUGAUCUGUCUGGUUAAUUCCGAUAACGAGCGAGACCCACGCCUGCUAAUAUAGUUCGAACAUUCAUGCAAUGCUCGUGACUUCUUAGAGGGAUCCUCGG
rnacentral:rRNA from 1 species